rfam:Rachicladosporium sp. CCFEE 5018 unplaced genomic scaffold Supercontig_16, whole genome shotgun sequence.
GGCCGAUUGGCUCAAUGGUAGAGCGUCCGCCUCCUACGUCUCAUGAUUGGCUAGCGGAAGGUUGUGGGUUCGAGUCCCAUGUUGGUCG